CAUUAUACAGUUAUUCAAUAUUGCUAACACUGUUUUUAAUGGGUCAAUUCAUUACAGAAAUGGAACUUUUCCCUGCCGACUUCGUUGCUCAACUUCCGCUCAAAAUAAAUGGUGCUGGACUAGUAUAGAGAGAGUGAAAUUUACUACACAUGGGAGGGUUUGGUCUGUUUUUGCUCUACUCUAUCCUGUUCUCCAUCUUAAGAUCUUCCACUGCAUUGGAUUCUGUUAAACCAAGCGAACCAUUGAGAGAUGGUGAUUUUCUUGUUUCAGCAGACCAAACUUUUGAACUGGGAUUUUUCAAUCUUCCAGAUUCAAAAAGUCGAUACUUGGGGCUACGGUACAAGAACAUAUUUCCUCAGACGAUUGUCUGGGUAGCCAAUAGAGAUCAUCCACUUUCUAAUACUCUAGGGGUGCUGAAUAUCACCAGCAAAGGAAAUCUUGUGCUUGUCAAUAGCACAAACGAUAUCAUUUGGUCAUCAAAUACAACAAGAACUGUGAAGGAUCCAGUUGCACAGAUCUUGAAAUCAGGAAAUUUUGUCCUAAGAGAUGGAAAUGAUAGUAAUCUUGACAACAUUUUGUGGCAGAGUUUUGAUCACCCUGUGGACACUCUAUUACCAGGAAUGAAAAUUGGAAGCAACUUAGUGACUGGUCUUAACUGGUUUCUGUCAUCUUGGAAGGGGACAGAGGAUCCUGCUCCAGGCGAAUUUUCAUUACAAUUGGAUCUUAAUGGGUAUCCACAGAUGCUUCUUAAGAAGGGAAAUAAAAUACAGUUCAGACCAGGAUCAUGGAACGGUUUAAGUUUUACAGGAAAUGCUGAAGUCUUGAGGCCUAAUCCAAGUUUCACAUAUGAAUUCGUAUUAAAUAAGGAUGAAAUCUAUUACACGAUUCAUAGUUUGGUUGUUUCUAGGUUCACAUUAAAUCCAUCAGGCACGCCACAGCUUUUCACAUGGAAUGAUCAAACACGUGAAUGGACAAUUUUUAAUGCAGCUAUCUUCGAUCAGUGUGAAAAUUAUGCCUUCUGUGGUGCAUAUUCUAAUUGCAAUACAAAAAAGUCUUCAGUUUGUGAAUGCUUGGAUGGUUUCACACCCAAGUCUCCAAACGACUGGAAUUUGCAAGUUUGGUCAGGUGGGUGUGUUCCAAAGACUCCACUGAAAUGCAGUGAUAAGUCUGGAUUUUUGAAGAUUAAAGGAAGUAAGCUGCCAGACACUUCGUCUUGCUGGUUUGACAGAAAAAUUGAUCUCAAAGAAUGUGAGCGAUUGUGCUCUUUAAACUGCUCUUGCACUGCAUAUGCAAAUUUGGAUAUUAGGAAUCGUGGAAGUGGCUGCUUGCUUUGGUUUGAUGAACUGAUUGAUAUGAGAGAAAUAACUGAGGGCCGACAAGACCUAUAUGUGCGGUUGGCUGCUUCAGAAUUAGAUAAAAUUACGCGUAAAAGAAUGCGCCAGAGUCUGAAAGCAGGAAUCAUUGCUGGUUCUGUGAUAUUGGGUAUAAUCAUGCCAUUGUUCUUUUACAUAUGGAGGAGAAAUCUUAGAAAACAUGGUAUGGCAAAUAGAAGUUUUGAAGGAAAUGACUACAUUACUGAAGGUCGGAAAGAAGACAUGGAGUUGCAAUUUUUUAACCUGAACACGAUAUCUGAAGCUACUAAUAGUUUUUCAAGCAGCAACAAACUUGGAGAAGGUGGCUUUGGACUUGUAUAUAAGGUGAAAAAAUUUAUGUGAUUCUUAAGCAAGCUAUGCCUUUUAAUUUAAAUGUCUAAGCUUUAGAAAUGAUGAUGUAGGGUAUAUUGGUGGAUGGGCAAGAAAUAGCAGUUAAGAGGCUCUCAAGAAGUUCUAGCCAGGGAAUGAAUGAGUUCAAAAAUGAAGUUACUUUAAUUGCUAAACUACAACAUCGCAAUCUCGUAAAGCUUCUUGGUUGUUGCAUUCAUGGAGAUGAGAAAAUGUUAAUAUAUGAAUACAUGCCCAACAAAAGCCUGGACUUCUUUACUUUUGAUAAAACAAGAUGCAAAUUACUAGAUUGGCAUAGACGCUUCCAUAUUAUCGAGGGGAUUGCCCGUGGACUUCUCUAUCUUCAUCAAGACUCAAGACUAAGAAUCAUCCAUAGAGAU
rnacentral:misc_RNA from 1 species